rnacentral:rRNA from 1 species
AGAGUUUGAUCCUGGCUCAGGAUGAACGCUAGCUACAGGCUUAACACAUGCAAGUCGAGGGGCAGCAUGAACUUAGCUUGCUAAGUUUGAUGGCGACCGGCGCACGGGUGAGUAACACGUAUCCAACCUGCCGAUGACUCGGGGAUAGCCUUUCGAAAGAAAGAUUAAUACCCGAUGGCAUAGUUCUUCCGCAUGGUAGAACUAUUAAAGAAUUUCGGUCAUCGAUGGGGAUGCGUUCCAUUAGGUUGUUGGCGGGGUAACGGCCCACCAAGCCUUCGAUGGAUAGGGGUUCUGAGAGGAAGGUCCCCCACAUUGGAACUGAGACACGGUCCAAACUCCUACGGGAGGCAGCAGUGAGGAAUAUUGGUCAAUGGGCGAUGGCCUGAACCAGCCAAGUAGCGUGAAGGAUGACUGCCCUAUGGGUUGUAAACUUCUUUUAUAUGGGAAUAAAGUUUUCCACGUGUGGAAUUUUGUAUGUACCAUAUGAAUAAGGAUCGGCUAACUCCGUGCCAGCAGCCGCGGUAAUACGGAGGAUCCGAGCGUUAUCCGGAUUUAUUGGGUUUAAAGGGAGCGUAGAUGGAUGUUUAAGUCAGUUGUGAAAGUUUGCGGCUCAACCGUAAAAUUGCAGUUGAUACUGGAUGUCUUGAGUGCAGUUGAGGCAGGCGGAAUUCGUGGUGUAGCGGUGAAAUGCUUAGAUAUCACGAAGAACUCCGAUUGCGAAGGCAGCUCACUGGACUGCAACUGACACUGAUGCUCGAAAGUGUGGGUAUCAAACAGGAUUAGAUACCCUGGUAGUCCACACAGUAAACGAUGAAUACUCGCUGUUUGCGAUAUACAGUAAGCGGCCAAGCGAAAGCGUUAAGUAUUCCACCUGGGGAGUACGCCGGCAACGGUGAAACUCAAAGGAAUUGACGGGGGCCCGCACAAGCGGAGGAACAUGUGGUUUAA